AGUCACUGACAUUAGAUACCCCUGUAGUCCAGGGUGUAAACGCUGCAGACUUGGUGUUGGGAACCCUUCGGGGGUGUCCAGUGCCGGAGAGAAGUUGUUAAGUCUGCUACUUGGGGAGUACGUCCGCAAGGAUGAAACUUAAAGGAAUUGGCGGGGGAGCACCGCAACGGGAGGAGCGUGCGGUUUAAUUGGAUUCAACACCGGAAAACUCACCAGUGAAGACUGUUACAUGAAAGCCAGGCUGAUGACCUUGCUAGAUUUUCAG
rnacentral:rRNA from 1 species